AGGACGAACGCUGGCGGCGUGCUUAACACAUGCAAGUCGAGCGGUAAGGCCUUUCGGGGUACACGAGCGGCGAACGGGUGAGUAACACGUGGGUGAUCUGCCCUGCACUUCGGGAUAAGCCUGGGAAACUGGGUCUAAUACCGGAUAUGACCUCAGGUUGCAUGACUUGGGGUGGAAAGAUUUAUCGGUGCAGGAUGGGCCCGCGGCCUAUCAGCUUGUUGGUGGGGUAAUGGCCUACCAAGGCGACGACGGGUAGCCGACCUGAGAGGGUGACCGGCCACACUGGGACUGAGACACGGCCCAGACUCCUACGGGAGGCAGCAGUGGGGAAUAUUGCACAAUGGGCGAAGGCCUGAUGCAGCGACGCCGCGUGAGGGAUGACGGCCUUCGGGUUGUAAACCGUCUUUCAGCAGGACGAUGCGCAAGUGACGGUACCUGCAGAAGAAGCACCGGCUAACGUACGUGUCAGCAGCCGC
rnacentral:rRNA from 1 species